CAGUCGCCGCGGGAAUACGGAGGAUCCGAGCGUUAUCCGGAAUUAUUGGGUUUAAAGGGUGCGUAGGCGGAUAGAUAAGUCAGUGGUGAAAGACGGUGGCUCAACCAUCGCAGUGCCGUUGAUACUGUUUAUCUUGAAUAUGGAUGAGGUAGGCGGAAUGUGGCAAGUAGCGGUGAAAUGCAUAGAUAUGCCACAGAACACCGAUUGCGAAGGCAGCUUACCAAGGCAAAAUUGACGCUGAGGCACGAAAGCGUGGGGAUCGAACAGGAUUAGAUACCCCUGUAGUCCCUGUCUCUUAUAA
rnacentral:rRNA from 1 species